AACGAACGCUGGCGGCAUGCCUAACACAUGCAAGUCGAACGAGACCUUCGGGUCUAGUGGCGCACGGGUGCGUAACGCGUGGGAACCUGCCCUUAGGUUCGGAAUAACUCCCCGAAAGGGGUGCUAAUACCGGAUAAUGUCUUCGGACCAAAGAUUUAUCGCCUUUGGAUGGGCCCGCGUUGGAUUAGCUAGUUGGUAGGGUAAAAGCCUACCAAGGCGACGAUCCAUAGCUGGUCUGAGAGGAUGAUCAGCCACACUGGGAGUGAGACACGGCCCAGACUCCUACGGGAGGCAGCAGUGGGGAAUAUUGGACGAUGGGCGAAAGCCUGAUCCAGCAGUGCCGCGUGAGUGAUGAAGGCCUUAGGGUUGUAAAGCUCUUUUACACGGGAUGAUAAUGACAGUACCGGGAGAAUAAGCUCCGGCUAACUCCGUG
rnacentral:rRNA from 1 species